ACCACCUGCUCCAGCUUGAAGGCCAGCCUCUGUUUCCUGGCUGUGUCAUCUUGCUCCAGUGAACACACGAUCUGUCAGCAGGAUGGUGAGCUCCUAAGGCUGAACAGGUUUGGACAACUUCUACUUGAGACACACUCUGUGAUGGAUCGAAUAAAAAAGUUGUGACAAGUGGAAGAAGCUGCACACGUGCUUCAUGGUAAAGUAACCAAAAUGGAGACGUCAUCGAAGCAGAGCUGCUUAAGAUUUCAACUUGAAACACCACACGAAGCCACUGAGGUAAAGGCAAUCAGUCACUGUCGGCAGCAGCUGUGUUUCCCCAUAUCAGUUAUGUUAAUUAAAGAUUCUUAUUAACAUAUUAAAUUCCUGUAGCAGCAGCUGCUUGAGGACAGGCCUGGUGGCUGGUUAGAUCGUUCUAGCAGAGUGUGUGCUAGAGAUGGCAUUUUCUAAACAAGCAUUCAGAGUGAAGGAGAAAGCUGGUGAGUGCUGCUCAUGCCUGUAUCACCACUGUACUGCAUAGAUGUUAUUCAGAUGAAUAUUACAGGAGGCUGUAACAUGUCUAACUGAUGCAUCUGAAACCUGUCUUUACAUUCAGGSCCAAUUUAUAAAACACUGAUUAUGAGUGAAACUGUAGCUUUUCUGCUGUGGUUCUCAGGUCUCAGAGUAAGGUUUUUGGAAGACCCCCAAAGGUUCCUGUAUUUGUUUCUCAUGUUGAGGCUGCAUGUUUCCUUUUUGUUGAUGUCCAGCAUCAGUGUUACCCCAAAUAUAUGGUAAUUUAUGUUUUAAGUCCCCCUUCUUUUCUGUGCACGUUUCCUAGUCACAACACACACCUCAUCUUACACCCCCCCACCCCCCAAAAAAAGUUUAAAGUGAUGUACGAUAGUUCAUCAUUCUCUGCCUGGCAUAGAAAGUACAGUGGAUCAAUGUUAAUAUGUUUUUUUUGGUUUGCUACACAAAACAUUGAAAAAUGCUAACACUUCCAGAGAUCCUUCUUGUGUAAACGUGGCCUCAAUUAAUGUUGGAGUUUUAGGCUCUGUUUACACAAGAAUGAACAUUAGUUAUAUCCUGCAACAUUAGUGUCAUUUUAAUUUGUAUUUGGGCAAAUAAAACAAAACAUGUUUAUAUGGAACCACUGGGUUGCCAGAUGGAACAAGAUAAACUGUUGUUCUUUUGCUUUAAAUUUAUAUUUUAACCCAAACGGUGAGUGAGGAUAUUGUAAGAUGAGGUGUGUGUGUGUUUGGUGAAAAGGAGGGUCAAAAAGCUUAUUUUUAUGAUUAUCUGGCAACCCUGAUGCUGGACUCAGCUGCAUGAUCACACUYCCAUCAAAACUAGUGAAUUUAUCCACAUCAAUGUAUUGUAAAUUGUUUCUUUGCCUGUAAUCACAUAACUGUGUGUUGGGUAUUUCACUAAAAAUUUCCACUCUAAAACCAGAAUUCAGAAACCUUGGUUUCAGAGAGACGAGGCCUUAAAUCUCUAAAACCAUKAUAAAGAAAUGACAAUAAUGCCUCAUAGAACCAUUAUACCAUAUGUUUUUCUACAAUGGCACAAAACUUAAUUAUAAUUGUGUGAAUGAAGUGGCAGGUGAAUGUUAUUGACUGGAGACCUUAAACUCCCACAUCAAAUUCAAAGUAACUGUGAAUAACUCCGUUCUGCUUUCCUUCACCAACUUAAGUUGAUAGAAUCAACAUAAAGUGAUAARUAGGAAAUAAAAAGCUCUGUCUGAAAUAAUUACUUUGUUCAACAUCAAAGCCACAAUAGACUAUUCUGACAUUAGCCAAUAUUGAACAAAUAUCUUUGUAGAUUUGAACACAGCUUGGCCUUUUAAAACAACUUUCAACAUAAAAACACUGUUUUCUAAACUUUUACAUCAUUGCUUUUUAGUCAUUUUUAGAAAAUUAGAAAAGUGAUGCAGUGUAAAAAAAAUUAAAGUUAGUUUGAACUACAAUAUUUUUUCUUCAGAUGGUUUCUCUGCAAGGUUACAUGGAACUUUAUAGUAGGUAACAGAACAAUUCAGUCUUAUGAAAUGUUGAUGUAAAGAUAAAAAAAAAUAGUGUUUAACUUUGAGAAUUGAGUUCCUGGCCCUGCUUGUACUAGCUGUUAGCUCUUCUCCACAAAACCUGAACUAUUACGGUAAUCUCCAAACAGCAUUUAUCUUUAGGUGUAUUAAUGGGCUAACUCAGCCUGAGGCUUCCUGCCUGAAUUCUUCUCUUGAAGGGAUAGCUUGAUCAGUCUGCAGUGAUGUUCUCUGAAAUAAUAUCUUAUCAGUUUUGACUUAAAAUCAGAGAAUGUAGAAAGAGAAAACAUGAGCCUCAAAUAUAAAAMUCUUGCUCCAAAAAGAUGACAAACUSUUUAUUUUGUCACUGUUUACUCAGCAUAACUACACAUGAACACAGCUUUUAUCCCAGUCGUCUCAAGUCUAAAACUUUGUUCAACUCUUGGCAGAUAUGGAAGUUCGUGCUGAUCAAUGAAUUCAGCAGUCCUACAUUAGCACAAUAACAGCUGUUUGGUUGAGAAAACAAACUAAACAAAGGGUCUCCUGCUAAAAAUGCAUCAGUCUGACUCCYCCCUGUUGCUACAGGGUGAGUCAGAAGUCGCAAGACACCCUUUUAUUUCAGAAGGAAAAGGGAGAAAUGACAUUUCUGAAUACUCCAGCAAGUAAUGGGUGAGAGGGCUAUCUGAAAAAGUUGCCCUUGAUCCAUAAUGGUGGCCAUAUCCUGGACAUAGCUGAGAAGAUAGACCCUCACCCAUUACUUGCUGGCAAAUUCAAACAUGUCAUUUUCCCUUUUAUUUCUGAAAUAAAAGGGUGUCCUGUAACGUUUGACUCAACCUGUACAUUCUCUGACUAUUAUUUAUAUAUUUGACCAUACAUCACUUCACAAUUUUCAUUUUUAAAAUAAAAGUAUAGCACAUUCUUUGCUUUUGAAAAAGUAAACUGAUUUCCACUUUUUUGCUGUAACUCUUAAAAAAAGCCUGUUUUUUCCUCUGUCCUAACCCUUUGACUCUCUCAGUACAGUAGCUCUCAUGCCGCGGGCGCACCCAUCCAUCCUCACUGUGUUGUAAUUUGGAUGGGGUUUCACAGCUCAUAGAUCAGUGCUACAGUCAUGCUGUGUUUGUUGGCCUGAAACAUAGCUAAUGUAAGUCUUCUCUCUCUUCAUCCAUCCAGUGACUGGUGUACACACUCCUGCAUGUGAAC